GUAACUUUUACUGUUCCUUUUACCAUACGUUUUGCCAUAUUUUCUAUAGCACCAGAAGCUGAGUAAAAAUGAAAUAAAAAGAUAUGUACAAGAUCUUCCGUCAAUUGCACGACAGCCAGUUGAAUGGAUGAUGUUUACACCACACAAAAAUCAAAUCUUACCGAAUGAAUUCACCCCAAUUGUGGUCCAAUAUUUUAUCCCACGAAAUAUAAAAUAAACAUGACAGGUUUAAAUAUUAUUCCUGUUUUGAGAUAUUUCAAGGCCAAAAAGUCCAUCUCUUUGACUUGUGAUAGAAAGCCUCUCUGUACAGAGAGCCAUGACUUAGCAUGCAGUGUGCAGGAUCAAGUACAAAGUGCAAUACUGACAAAAAACACUGUUUUUGUACUCUUAGUACAGAAGUCGUAUAAAUUCAUGUAAGUUCUUGCGGUUAUAGUCCAAAACAAGAGAGAUCACACAAAGUUCUCCCAUGGGCAUUUCCCAUUGAAACUCCAACAGAUUCAUAUUUUGAUCUGUUUCAAAGCUAAGUUAAAAAAGUCAAAAAUACCCCCCAGUUUGUUGAAAAUGUAAAAGCACAAGAAGCUCCAUAGCUUAGUGGUUUAUACAAAUAAAUAGCAUUCCAGAAACUACUGCCAAGCUUUAAUGCAAGACUGUGUUUUUUUCCAUCUUUCAGAUGAAACUCUUGUUUGUGUUUAAACACUUUAAUUAACGGCAUUUAAGUGCUGUGAUAUGUCUUUUUUAUCUUAGGAAAGUUGAAUUUACCACAACCCACACUGCACAAACCCAUUAACAUUCUUUGGCUACAAUUAUUAUUAUUAUUAUUAUUAUUAUUUGAACAAGUCAUUGAGCCCAACUGCCAAGUUAUGUUUGUGACAUUUCCCUUAUCAAACUUAUCAAACAAAGUAAUAAUGAGCUCCACUAUGAAAUACAACAACAGCAAACCUCUUUCCUUAUAACCAUAUUUUAUAACUGUAUGUGACUAUCUGAUAUGUUUUUAGGACCAAUGGGUUCUGACUCUGACACAAAUCAACAUCAAGUCAAAGAACCGGAGAAAGAGGGGUGCCUGUUGUUGGGUUGGUGGUUUCAGAGUGCGCUCCACAUACUGAGGCCAAGUCCUCGUUGCAACAGUAGCUACAGUCAUCUCCCAGAUGACUCCCUUUGUGUCAUGCCAUCCCUCAUUAUCCCACAUUGUCCUCCUCUCUUCAUUUGUUCUGUUCAGUGAGGCCCAAAAUUCCCAUAAGUAUAACUAAAAAUGAGAAAAGUAUGAGCAAGCUACUAAAAAAAUCUAAUUGAGCAAGCUGAAGUAGCUAAAAGCUAAUGCUGAUAAAAUCAUCUGUUUCCAUUUAACCUGUCCUAAAAUCUGUGGUUUCCAGCUCUGAGCGCAAAGUCCUAAUUUUAAAGUGAAGUUGAUAUGAAUGGUUCUUUAACCUGCUUUUAGUCUUACAGGUGGCGUCUUUGUUUGCGUGUGUGCAAUUUUUUUAACUGCUGGUUCAAAAGCUUGUUUGAUACAGCAUGAUGUUCAUCUUUUUAAAAUGAGAGAAAUCCACAUCAAAGCAGACUAACUUUAAUCAGAUCCAGUUGAAUUCCAAAGUCUAGUGUCUAGAGAGGAAAGUGAAAGAGGAAGCAAACGGCAUACUCCUGUGUGUCCACGUGGCUUUGAGGAUAAGAACACUGACUGGGACCCCUAAGGUCAUGGGUUCGAGCCUUAUCCAGGACCAAUUAUAAAGUCCAGGAGCCAAAGUACCAAGAUAAAAGCACACAGAGCUCAUCCCCAAGUGUGGAUGGUAUCCGGUGGUGCAGCGUGGUAGACAACUGACACCCAAAUGCCAGUUAAGCGGGCUGGUUGGUAAGCCGCUCCUGGUUCAAAACCCACUCGGCACAAGGGAGAUCCAGAAGCAAAUCCUGGGGAACCAGGCCUGGGGUGAGGGGUUUUCCCCCCAGUAAACAGUCACCUCUCACUCUUAAAGACAAGCUGGCUGCAUGAAGUUUAGGAAAUGGUG